rnacentral:rRNA from 1 species
GAUGAACGCUGGCGGCGUGCCUAAUACAUGCAAGUCGAGCGAACAGACGAGGAGCUUGCUCCUCUGACGUUAGCGGCGGACGGGUGAGUAACACGUGGAUAACCUACCUAUAAGACUGGGAUAACUUCGGGAAACCGGAGCUAAUACCGGAUAAUAUAUUGAACCGCAUGGUUCAAUAGUGAAAGACGGUUUUGCUGUCACUUAUAGAUGGAUCCGCGCCGCAUUAGCUAGUUGGUAAGGUAACGGCUUACCAAGGCGACGAUGCGUAGCCGACCUGAGAGGGUGAUCGGCCACACUGGAACUGAGACACGGUCCAGACUCCUACGGGAGGCAGCAGUAGGGAAUCUUCCGCAAAGGGCGAAAGCCUGACGGAGCAGCGCCGCGUGAGUGAUGAAGGUCUUCGGAUCGUAAAACUCUGUUAUUAGGGAAGAACAAAUGUGUAAGUAACUAUGCACGUCUUGACGGUACCUAAUCAGAAAGCCACGGCUAACUACGUG